UAAAGAAAUUUUGAACAAGCAAUCCCAGGUGAAGCAGUUUAGUGGUUAAAAUAAAGUAAAUGUAUAGUGGGUAUAACUUUAAUGUUAACCCUUUUCAUAUUUAUAUUGGACUUCAAUGUAUGUGCGUUAGCGUCACUCAGGCAUGCAAACAGGGUGCGUGCAUGCGCGUAUGUGCACAUCCACAUUGAUGCAUAGGUCUUAUACAUGCAUACAUAUAUUUUGAAAUAUUAAAAUAUUGAUAGGAUCAGAUCGAGAGUUUUUAACAAACGUGCGUGUUCAUAGGCGCAAAUUCUUUCUCCGCCGGUGGCAGCGUCAAGCAAUGCUUAGCAACGAAAGAAGCUCUGAAGCGCCCACGCGAUUUGAAGAGGAGAAAAGCGGCGCGGUAACGUUAUCCGCGUGGUUUCAGACGCGACAUGUAAAGUAAAUGUAAAGCAACUGUGCGUAUGUGUUGGCCAUUUCGGUGGCUGCUCAAGCCGAGCCCCGGAGGACCCAGGGGAUCAGGGCAUAUCUGCGUGUUUAUUGUAGCACUUUCACUCAUAAAACAACAAGUGAGAAACCUUUUUGGGGUUAUAAUGUUUCCACCUGCGCUGAAAACGCGUUCUGAUGGUGUACUGGUAGCGCAGAUUGAUACUUUUUCGCAACUUUGAAUGAGAGAGAACGGCCGUUUCUCAACCGAAGGCUUCAGUCUCCGGAGGUCGCAUAUGCAGGCUGUAUGUCAUCAAGCCUGGUUUAUUAUUUUCAUUGCAAGUCAUAAGCAUAUUACAACAAUGUAUGAUCAACAAAGAAUAAUAGUCAAGCUUUCAAAAAUGAUAUUGCUAUGAAAAAUUACUGUACAUUUGAAUCUAUUUUUCUUUGUCUUUUAGGUGUUGGCAACAGCAACAGACGUUGAAAAAAGACUACAGUUUCCUGACUCUAAUUGUCUAAGGUGAAUCAGCGUUUGGAUGCUGAGCAUCGGGUGGUUGUGCCUCCACAUCCCAACUUCGUGGCUGGAAUGGCAGCUUUGUUUUCUAGCUACUACAACUUCAAUCUGGUGUACCAGGAGGAGCAAGUGCACACUGGAGUUCAUUCAAAGCAGGGGAUAGUCGGGAAAUUUUCAACCAGAGGACCUGCUGCUUGAGGUUAUGUUAAUGCAACUAACCUAACCAUAACUCAUGCAAUUUUGUGACUAGAAAUCCAAAUCAUCCCUUCAACUGUUAUGACCCUAUAUUUCACUAUUGUCAUUGCAUUGCAGAACCACUUCCUGGUUUAGCUUGCCUGGACAGCACAACUGAAAUUAAAUUAAUAAUAAUUACCAGCUGAAUUUUUCUGUUGCAGUUUUUCUGCACUUAAGCUGAAAAGGGCAAAUCAGCUUGAUUUGCACAGCCUGAUGUAUUUUUGCACUCUCAUGUAGAGCAGUUAAGGC